rnacentral:rRNA from 1 species
CCUACGGGGGGCAGCAGUGAGGAAUAUUGGUCAAUGGACGAGAGUCUGAACCAGCCAAGUAGCGUGAAGGAUGACUGCCCUAUGGGUUGUAAACUUCUUUUAUAAAGGAAUAAAACGAGGCACGUGUGCCUUUUUGCAUGUACUUUAUGAAUAAGGAUCGGCUAACUCCGUGCCAGCAGCCGCGGUAAUACGGAGGAUCCGAGCGUUAUCCGGAUUUAUAUGGUUUAAAGGAAGCGUAGAUGGGUUGUUAAGUCAGUUGUGAAAGUUUGCGGCUCAACCGUAAAAUUGCAAUUGAUACUGGCAGUCUUGAGUACAGUUGAGGUAGGCGGAAUUCGUGGUGUAGCGGUGAAAUGCUUAGAUAUCACGAAGAACCCCGAUUGCGAAGGCAGCUUUCUAAACUGUGACUGACAUUGAUGCUCGAAAGUGUGGGUAUCAAACAGGAUUAGAUACCCCAGUAGUC